rnacentral:rRNA from 1 species
AGUCGAGCGGUAGAGAGAAGCCUGCUUCUCUUGAGAGCGGCGGACGGGUGAGUAAUGCCUAGGAAUCUGCCUGGUAGUGGGGGAUAACGUUCGGAAACGGACGCUAAUACCGCAUACGUCCUACAGGAGAAAGCAGGGGACCUUCGGGCCUUGCGCUAUCAGAUGAGCCUAGGUCGGAUUAGCUAGUUGGUGGGGUAAUGGCUCACCAAGGCGACGAUCCGUAACUGGUCUGAGAGGAUGAUCAGUCACACUGGAACUGAGACACGGUCCAGACUCCUACGGGAGGCAGCAGUGGGGAAUAUUGGACAAUGGGCGAAAGCCUGAUCCAGCCAUGCCGCGUGUGUGAAGAAGGUCUUCGGAUUGUAAAGCACUUUAAGUUGGGAGGAAGGGCAGUAAAUUAAUACUUUGCUGUUUUGACGUUACCGACAGAAUAAGCACCGGCUAACUCUGUGCCAGCAGCCGCGGUAAUACAGAGGGUGCAAGCGUUAAUCGGAAUUACUGGGCGUAAAGCGCGCGUAGGUGGUUCGUUAAGUUGGAUGUGAAAUCCCCGGGCUCAACCUGGGAACUGCAUUCAAAACUGACGAGCUAGAGUAUGGUAGAGGGUGGUGGAAUUUCCUGUGUAGCGGUGAAAUGCGUAGAUAUAGGAAGGAACACCAGUGGCGAAGGCGACCACCUGGACUGAUACUGACACUGAGGUGCGAAAGCGUGGGGAGCAAACAGGAUUAGAUACCCUGGUAGUCCACGCCGUAAACGAUGUCAACUAGCCGUUGGGAGCCUUGAGCUCUUAGUGGCGCAGCUAACGCAUUAAGUUGACCGCCUGGGGAGUACGGGCCGCAAGGUUAAAACUCAAAUGAAUUGACGGGGGCCCGCACAAGCGGUGGAGCAUGUGGUUUAAUUCGAGCACGCGAAGAACCUUACCAGGCCUUGACAUCCAAUGAACUUUCUAGAGAUAGAUUGUGCCUUCGGGAACACUGAGACAGUGCUGCAU